rnacentral:rRNA from 1 species
AUGCACGGCCGCGCUGUCGCCGCGCCGGGACGCGCAGUGCAGGGCGUAGAAGCCGCCGGCCGGCAUGCCCUUCUCCAGCGCGAAGUCGAGCAUGACCUGCUCGAAGAGGUCCCUCUUCUUGCUCUGCUGCGCGAGCCCAAUAGCCGUCUCGCCACGCUUGUUGCACAGCCUCACGUUGGCGCCGGCGAAGACGAGGACGCGGAAGGCGUCAACAUUGCCCUCCUUGGCGGCGGCCAUUAUGGGCGAGCACCCGUCCGCGUCCUGCUCGUCCACGUCCACGCCGGGCUGGGCGAGCAGCACCUCCAGCGCGGCGGCAUCGCCGCAGCGCGCCGUGAACAUCAUGGGCGAGAACACGUGGCGAUCGCUGGACAGAGGGAUGGUCCCGGACCGAAUCGCACCAAGAACGGCGCGUUCGAAGCCCGCCUUCCAGCCGCCCGAAGAGGCGACGGAUGCCGCCGACUCGCCUGCCAAGUUCAACAGCGCAACGUCCGCCCCGGCGGACACGAGAACCCUGACGCAGUCCUCUUGCUUGUGGCGUGCGGCCAGGAUGACGGCGACAUCGCCAGCCUCCGCCCUCGCGUUGACGUCGCAGCCCUUGUCCAUGAGCGUCUGCAGGAUCUCCGGCUGGCCGAGUCGCGCGGCCAAGUGAACAGGCCUGAACCUGCCGCUCCGGGAGGUCCUCACGGCAGCUUCGCAUUCGGCGCCAGAAGCCAGCAGCGUCUCGACGGCGCCGACGCUCCCGCAGAGGAUGGCUUGGUGGAGCAGCGUCCGUCCGACGUGCGUGGCGCCCGACGAGUACCCGUUCUGCAGGAGCAUGCGGAGGAUGGAGCCGGUGGACUCGUAGUACUCCACCGCGCACCAGGCCGCAUCGUAGGGCUCCGCGAGCCCCGCGCCGACGCGCAGCUCUUCCCCGGUGGCCGCGUCCCAGGACCACGCUCCAAGCCUCACCUUGGUGUCCCUCUUCACACCAGCCUGGAGAAGAGGAAAAAAUGGUGUCAAAAAUCAAAUGCGUCGAUCGCGAAAAUAGAUCUACUUGGGUAA